rnacentral:rRNA from 1 species
GAUUAUGACGUACUUGUACUGAUUGAGAUUUUAACACGAAGUGAGUGGCGAACGGGUGAGUAACACGUGGGUAACCUGCCCAGAAGUAGGGGAUAACACCUGGAAACAGAUGCUAAUACCGUAUAACAGAGAAAACCGCAUGGUUUUCUUUUAAAAGAUGGCUCUGCUAUCACUUCUGGAUGGACCCGCGGCGUAUUAGCUAGUUGGUGAGGUAAAGGCUCACCAAGGCAGUGAUACGUAGCCGACCUGAGAGGGUAAUCGGCCACAUUGGGACUGAGACACGGCCCAGACUCCUACGGGAGGCAGCAGUAGGGAAUCUUCCACAAUGGACGCAAGUCUGAUGGAGCAACGCCGCGUGAGUGAAGAAGGGUUUCGGCUCGUAAAGCUCUGUUGUUAAAGAAGAACGUGGGUAAGAGUAACUGUUUACCCAGUGACGGUAUUUAACCAGAAAGCCACGGCUAACUACGUGCCAGCAGCCGCGGUAAUACGUAGGUGGCAAGCGUUAUCCGGAUUUAUUGGGCGUAAAGCGAGCGCAGGCGGUCUUUUAGUCUAAUGUGAAAGCCUUC